GGUUCCUCGUCUCGGCGAGGAUCCCCGGAAGCGAGGCAAAUUUUGCCAUCGGAGCAGGAGAUGACGGGGCACAUGACGACAACGCGCCCCGCCGCUACGACCGAGGAGGAGGAGAUGGUCAUGGCCGCCUCUGCAGCGGUCAAUGCCGCGCCACCGGACGCAGACGAUCGGGAGCACUAGAAGAAAGUGCGGGCGAGGAACAAGAAGAAGCGGCGGAGGGUGCCGAGCGAGGAGGAGCUGGCCGCGCUGAGGUCCGUGCUCCGCUGGGCCCGCCACGGCAGAGGCGGACGACGAGGAGGAGGCGGACUACGCGCACCUGUUGCCGGCUGGGAGGCGGCGGCCGCGCGUGACGGUGGAGCUGCAUGCGCACUCGGCGCGCAGCGACGGCUUGCUCUUGCCCGCGGCGCUCGUGGAGCGCGCACACCGCAAUGGGGUGAAGGUGCUCGCACUGACUGAUCAUGACACCAUGGCCGGUGUCCCGGAGGCGAUGGAGUCGGCAAAGGAAUUUUCCAUCAGGAUCAUCCCAGGUGUUGAGAUAAGCGCCCUUUAUUCGCCUAGGUAACCCUUUUCUCGCCACCCUAAAAUUUGUAACACGCCUUGAUGGUCACACAGAUGUGGUUAAUUCUCAAAGUUGUUAAUUGUUCUGAAAGCAAUGGAUCAGGAGCGGAUGAACUUGUUCAUAUUAUCGCAUACUACGAUAGUUGGGGCCCUGGGAAAUCUCAGGAAGUAGAGAAGGUUCUAUCUAGCAUCAGGGAGGGCCGCUAUACACGUGCCAAGGAGAUGCUAUCGAAAUUUAGGAACCUCGGCAUGCCAUUGAACUUUGAAGAUGUGUCUACUAUAGCAGGGAAUGGAGUGGCUCCAGGGCGGGUGCACGUGGCGCGUGCCAUGGUUGUAGCUGGAUAUUUUGAUAAUCUUUUUUUAAGCCCAGAACCGUGGAAUAAUCGUUCUACGGUAUAUUUUCAUUGAAAGAAAAAAACAACAAAAAAGAAAAGGAAAACAGUAUCUGCAUAAAUUGGUAACAUGGGCAAGCUUUCAGCAGGUACUUGUACGAUGGAGGGCCUGCUUAUGCUACUGGCAGUGAGCCAGAUGGGAAUCUGUUGUGCAGCUAAUAUAUACAGCUGGGGGCAUAGCUGUUUUGGCUCAUCCGUGGGCAUUGAAAAUCCUAUUCUUGUGAUAAAGGAUUUGAAAGUUGAUGGUCUGCAUGCUAUUGAGGUCUAUCGAAGCGAUGGAAAACUAUCUAGUAUGAAUGGCAUGAUCAUUUUUCAGUCAUAACAAGUGAUACUUUAUGUUACCAAUUUAUGCAGAUACUAAUGAUGCAUCUAACGUAUAUGUCUAUUUUAUGCCUUCGUUGAGAAGAAAAUGUCUAAUGUAUCUGAACUUCAAUGGAAUUAACUGCUGAAUUUGUCUAAACCAGGUUUGAGUGAUCUGGUUGAUACUUAUGAGCUUCUGAAGCUCGGUGGAUCAGAUUACCAUGGACGAGAUGACAAGGAAGAACCUGAUAUAGGAAGCGUUGAUCUUCCAGUCUUGGCAUUUUUUAGAUUUCUUGAGGUAGCUCAACCAAUUUGCUGCAAUGCUAUCAAGGAAAUUUUUGCAAACACCACUGAAAGAUCAUAAGUAUAUAUGGCCUAAAAGGAUGUCAUCGGACUAUCUCUGUAGAUGAUUUAUGUAAUAGGUGCCUUUCUUCUCCAGAACUGGAGGAAACAGGUGAUUCUGAGAUUGAGGUCCUCCGGGGGAAACUUGCAGACAGACGACAAUUCUGUUCAUAAAGGAACCAUCGUUCUCAUCGGCGGCUGCAGGCUGUUGUGUGACACAGAGAUCUCAUUUUUCUAGCAACUACAGGCACUCAGUCAAGCACUAGGAAGAAGGGAGUUGGUCAGACGAUUAUCUGAUGACCUGAUAUGCUACCUGGUGUCUUUUAGUAACAAAUAUAACUUCUUCUCCAGAAAAAAGAACAUUGAGAGGCAUGCUACAGUUUAUUUUGCCCUGAGAAUUGCUCAUAAUUUUGUAACAAAGACAAACAUGCCAGUAGACCUCUUACACUUGACUCCGGCACCUCUUUCUAGAAAUAGAUGGAACUGAAGUUUCCUGUUCGAUAUUUUUACAUACCUUUUGUCUAGGCCAAAGGUGUGAUUCUUCAGGGUUAAUACUUCAUAUAUUGUUAGCUCUUGAUUCUUGU